rnacentral:snRNA from 1 species
GGAUGUGAGGGCAAUCUGGCUGCGACAUCUGUCACCCCAUUGAUCGCCAGGGUUGAUUCGGCUGAUCUGGCUGGCUAGGCGGGUGUCCCCUUCCUCCCUCACCGCUCCAUGUGCGUCCCUCCCGAAGCUGCGCGCUCGGUCGAAGAGGACGACCUUCCCCGGAUAGAGGAGGUCUGGUCUUCGGUCAAGGGUAUACGAGUAGCUGCACUCCCCUGCUAGAACCUCCAAACAAGCUCUCAAUUAAAGCUCAAGAAGGCCUAUGUUGUCAACUUGACAGGAUUUAGAAUUACCAUGGAACGAAAUCUCUGGGCAUGUCU